ACUCAUUCUUUGCUCUCCUGCUACCACGUGAAGAAGGAUGUAUUUGCUUCCCCUUCUGCCAUGUUUGUAAGUUUCCUGAGGCCUCCCCAGCCCUUCAGAACUAUGGGGUAACACAUAGAAAAGGCACGGAGAAGUUAAGUGAUUUGCCUGUGGUCACAAAGCCUGUUAGCAGCAAACCCAGAACAAGAACCUAAGAUUUAUGACCGCCAGUUCCAGCUGUUUUUCUUCGUCAUGUAUCCUCAGCAAUCAACAUAAUCAAAAUCUGUUUGGAGACUACUGAUUUGUAUAAAGGAAGAUAACACCGAACAACCAAACAGGAAGUAAUCCAGCGAAUCUGGAACAGCGGUGGAAUUUAGAAGCAAGGCCAGAUGAGGACCCUAAGACCUAGAGAAACUAAGUCAUUUGCUCAAGAAGACAAAGGUAAUCAUCAGAAAUCAACAUGAGAUUUCAGCUCUCCUGAUCCUUAGUACAACAUGUGAAAGAAGAUAUGUUGUCUUUACUCACAGUGGAGGCAUUUUUCUAGCUGUGUUUGAUUUGGCUUCCCUAUAGAUUCAGGACCCAUAACUCUUGUUCUCACUCAUCUGCUAUGCUGCUGAUAAGGACUUUCAGGUCAACAGCUGUAACUGCUAAAUGAAGUUAAUACUCUGGAAAAAAAAAAAAAAAAAAAACCAGAAGGAACAGAGACCAAAAGAUUGAAAGCCAUUUGGAAAUUUCUUGAGUGGUGUCUGGCAGGUCUUUUAUGAAGAUUAUCAUAAACCAGGAAAAAAAAAAAAAACGCCUGCUGACUGUGUUAUCUGUAGUGCCUAUUGCCUAUUUUGGCUGAUUCAUUGAUGGUGUAACAGAUAACAGAAUGAAAGGAAAUGGUUUGGUUUCUAUAAAGGAAAAAGAAUGGUUUGUAUAAGGAAACCAUUAGUUUCCUGAGAUUGCUAUACCAAAUUAUCAAAACUUGGUGUCUUAAAACAAUAGAAAUUUUUUCUCCCACAGUUCUGGAGGCCAGAAACUCAAAAUCAGUAUUUGGCGGCUGAAAUCAAGGUGUUGGCAGCACCCUCUGGAGGCUCUCGGACAGAAUCUGUCCCUUGUGUCUAACAGAUUCUGCUGGCUGCUGGCAUUCCUUGACUUGUGGUCGUAUCAUUCCCAUCUCCUCCUCCAUAGUCAUAACGCUUUCUCCUCUUCUCUGGCAUUUGCAUCCCUUUUAUAAGACACGUAUGACUGCAUUUAGGGCUCACCAGGAUAAUGCAGGAUAAUCUUCCUAUUUCAGGAUCCUUUGCCACAUCUUCAAAGUCCUUUUUGGCCAAUAAAGUAAUAUUCACAGGCUCCAGGUUUUAGGAUGUGGGUAGUGGUGUUGGGGUGGGGGGCAGAUUUGGGGGUGAACAACCAGCCUACUACUGGUGGGUGACUGGUUAUCCAUCAUUCUUAAGUCAGAAAUGAUGACCCAAAAUCUCUUUUUGCUUUUGCUUCACUCAUUUUGCAUUUAAUUACUAGGCUCUGCUUCUUCAGACACUUUUAUUACAGUUUAGUUUUUGCUACAUCCCUCAAAAAUGUCUUAUUAUUUUCACGGCCUGUCAUUUAGUUAUGUUUUCUUCUAAGUGUUUGGCUGUCUUGGUCAGUGCUCUAAAGGAAUUAAAAUCACUUGGUCAGGGCUCUGAAGUAAUUGGUCAGUGCUCUGAAGUAAUUAAAAUCACUGUGAAGCUGAAUGAAAAAUCAGAAGAAGAAUCAAGAGACCUAUGUUUUGCUUGUUAGGAGAACUGUGUAUCCUUUAUGUCUAUUUUUGGAGUUGGUGGUAAUUUCUGGUCAAGGAAUCAAAUGUUCUUAUUCCUAACCAUAUAGUCAGAUAAGAUGGCUAAGGUGCUUUCAUAAUCACCAUUGAUUCACUGUCAGAUGGGCCCGUGCUCUGUGACAACUUUUCAAUAUUAUAGACUUUACCAAAUAAAAAGGUAUCUCCUCAUUCUGUGCACAGAAAAAGAAAAUGAUGGAUGAGUAUAUUAGCCAGAACCCUGUCGCAGAAAAAUAAGCAUGAGUGUGCCCUUUCAUGCCUCCUGAGAACUCCUGUGCUAGACAGAGCCUGUUCAAGAUGUCUUUUCUGACUUUCUGAUUCCAGUUGACAUCUAGGCAUAUAAGGCAACUUUGUGAUGGGGCCAGAGAGCACCACACAUUGUUGUGUAUGAAAUACUCUAUUCAGCAAACAAGCCGUGCAGCAACAAGACCUAGUGUGGUCAAGGAUGGUGGACUAAAAACCACUAUGAAAGCAGAGAUGUAGCCACCUCUGAGACUGGUUUUCUAAGCAGGAUGACUUGGUUCCAUCCCUACAGGCAUCGUCUGGUCCAGUUCAGCACAGAGCUAGCUGCAAGUGACAACCUAAGAGAAAAGUCAGCGAGAACAAAGAUCCAUCUCUUCGUUGACUGCCUUAAUCCCUAGAGCUGUGUUCUUCAAUUUGUUACUAUUUGCUACAAUUUUUCUGCCUAACAAGCAAGUUCUAUCCUGCCUAGGAGAGAAACUUUUAGUAAAUUCAUCUUCAUUCACUACUAUUCAGCUCAUGCUGUAAAAACUUAGAUAAUGCUGUCUGAAAUACUUAACUCCUGGUCAAAUGCAGCUGCUAUUUCAUUCAGUAUAAUCAAAGAAUAGCCAAGGACUUUAGUUAAUAUUUCUUCAGAUGAUAGAGAAUAAACAAAUUGUUUUGGAUAUAUCUACCAUGCCCUCCAAACAUGAUUGUUGAUAUCUUUUCUAUAUAAAUUACUUUCCUACAUAAAUGGUACUUAGCUUUUCCUUGAAAGAUAUGCUCUUCUCUCCAGCUCAAAGAUAACCCUCUUUCCCUCAAAUUAUAAGUAAUUUAUAUUUAAUAAUCUUUCAUACGAAUUUUUAAAAUUACAAAUGGUAAGGUACCACUAUUUUUUAUUUUGUAACAGCACAAACCAUCAAAUCAGAAAAAAAGAAAGGUUGAGUAUGAUCUCUGAAAAAUGAAUUCUAGUAGCAUGUAUAGCAAAAAUCAUCUUAGAAUGAAUAGAAGCCCUGAAUAACUCAAUGACCACCAGGCUUGUCUGCAUCCACGUUCUACUUGGUUAACUGUUAAAUAAUAUCUAACUUGUUGCAUUGUAAAAACAACAUGUGUCUGUAAACUGAAAAAUAGAUGUUAUUAUCCACCUGGUUUAGUCAUAAUGGAGAAAUGUCCUUCAGUUGCAUGAUGCUCUUCCUAUGAAUGAGGAAACCAGAUCAACAUUUCCAUUCAAGUUCUAGCUUGCCUAUAACAUUUCUUAGCUCCUUUUGCAAACCAAAAGUGGCAGCAGUUGUAACUGAAUUAGUCUAACUGCUCAGACACAUGCAUUUCUGUUUGGUUGCUCUGGUCUCUUCUUGAAGGCCAAGUGCUGUGAUCAUUUAUCAUCAUCAGAAUUGGCUGCCAUAACUCAGUGUUCCCGGGACCUGCAGUGGGCAGAGCACCAGCACAACCCGUAGAAAGCAGCUCCAAGAUCAGCACCCUCUCAUAAACCUACCGAGCCAGGAGCAUCUUCCAGGCCCUCCACUCUCAGGAGUUUCAAGGAGAAAACAAAAUGCUGAGGACUGGGAAUGAGAAGCUUCAACCUUGCACAAUCUCUACAUUUUGCUUUACUCCCAAGAGGGACGAAUGAAGAAUGUUGUUAUUGAUGCUAUGACCACUUCUCUCCCAUAUUGUGCCCAGUAAACAUGGUCUUACUCAUUAUUGAAA
rnacentral:lncRNA from 1 species